GGGGGCGACCAGGUUUCGACGGGGGUUGCGAUGCUGCCAUGCGCAUGCCGAGAUCUCAGAUUCUCGUUAAUCGCUGAACCAAAAUAAUCGCUAACGACGAUACUUACGCUUUGGCAGCUUAAUGCCUGGCCGUUGCGGCGACUCUCUUGCGGGUCGCGCGGGUAAAACCGCAGCAACGUCAUAUUUCGCAAGAUCGCCCGCAUUCAGGCCGCUGGCUUGCGGGUUAAACUAAGUGCGGAUGGCGGACCAAAAGCCUGUCGACCGGCAGAUGGCGAGCGACAUUCAAUAGAUCGACUAAGCAUGUAGCGCAUACAGAGUAGGACUUUCGGACGGGGGUUCGAUUCCCCCCGCCUCCACCA
rnacentral:tmRNA from 1 species